rnacentral:rRNA from 1 species
UGAGAGGGUGACCGGCCACACUGGGACUGAGACACGGCCCAGACUCCUACGGGAGGCAGCAGUAGGGAAUUUUCGGCAAUGGGGGAAACCCUGACCGAGCAACGCCGCGUGAAGGAAGAAGUAAUUCGUUAUGUAAACUUCUGUCAUAGAGGAAGAACGGUGGAUAUAGGGAAUGAUAUCCAAGUGACGGUACUCUAUAAGAAAGCCACG